rnacentral:lncRNA from 1 species
UUGCCUUGCAGAGGGCCAAAAUCGCAGAAGAAAAACUCAAAUUUAACCAUUGCGAAACAGAGGGCCGAUAACAAAAAGAAAAAGUUGAGCUUAAGGUGUCAGGCGAACUGGGCUUUGUGUCCCAGGCAAAACUAGGCUUUAGUGGGCCAGGUGAGACUGGGCUUAUGGGCCAGGCGAGCUGGGCUUAGGGGCCCAGGCGAAACUGGGCUUAGGGGCCAGUGUAGAAAUUGGGCUUUGGGGCCAGCGUGAAACUGGGCUUAGGAGCCAGCGUGAAACUGGGCUUGGGGGCUAGGUGAAACUAGGUUUUGGGGCCAGGCGAAACUGAGCUUAGGGGCCAGUGUAGAAACUGGGCUUUGGGGCCAGGCGAAACUGAACUUAGGGGCCAGUGUAGAAACUGGGCUUUGGGGCCAG